AGCAGCCGCGGUAAUUCCAGCUCCAAUAGCGUAUAUUAAAGUUGUUGCAGUUAAAAAGCUCGUAGUUGAAUUUCGGGAUCAGUACAAUGGUCGUGCCUCUGGUACGUACUGUCGUGACUGGUUCCUCCCUUCUGAAGAACUGCCAUGUCAUUAAUUUGGUGUGGCGGGGAAUCAGGACUGUUACUUUGAAAAAAUUAGAGUGUUUAAAGCAGGCUCGCGCUUGAAUACAUUAGCAUGGAAUAAUGAAAUAGGACGUUUGAUCCUAUUUUGUUGGUUUCUAGGAUUGACGUAAUGAUUAAUAGGGAUAGUUGGGGGCAUUAGUAUUCAAUUGUCAGAGGUGAAAUUCUUGGAUUUAUUGAAGACUAACUACUGCGAAAGCAUUUGCCAAGGAUGUUUUCAUUAAUCAAGAACGAAAGUUAGGGGAUCGAAGACGAUCAGAUACCGUCGUAGUCUUAACCAUAAACUAUGCCGACUAGGGAUCGGAUGAUGUUAAUUUUUAAUGACUCAUUC
rnacentral:rRNA from 1 species